CAGUCCGCGGUAAUACAGAGGGUGCGAGCGUUAAUCGGAAUUACUGAGCGUAAAGCGCGCGUAGGUGGUUUGUUAAGUUGGAUGUGAAAUCCCCGGGCUCAACCUGGGAACUGCAUCCAAAACUGGCAAGCUAGAGUAUGGUAGAGGGUGGUGGAAUUUCCUGUGUAGCGGUGAAAUGCGUAGAUAUAGGAAGGAACACCAGUGGCGAAGGCGACCACCUGGACUGAUACUGACACUGAGGUGCGAAAGCGUGGGGAGCAAACAGGAUUAGAGACCCCCGUAGUCCCUGUCUCUUAUACAC
rnacentral:rRNA from 1 species